UACAGAGGUCUCAAGCGUUGUUCGGAUUCAUUGGGCGUAAAGGGUGCGUAGGUGGCGCCGUAAGUCGGGUGUGAAAUUUCGGAGCUUAACUCCGAAACUGCAUUCGAUACUGCCGUGCUUGAGGACUGGAGAGGAGACUGGAAUUUACGGUGUAGCAGUGAAAUGCGUAGAGAUCGUAAGGAAGACCAGUGGCGAAGGCGGGUCUCUGGACAGUUCCUGACACUGAGGCACGAAGGCCAGGGGAGCGAACGGG
rnacentral:rRNA from 1 species